UUCCCCAGUGUAGUUUUACUAGGUACCUUGAGCAGACUGCAAGGGUGUUCACAUCUGAGUCAGGAAACUGCAAGAAGCGUAUGCAACAGUAUGCCUGUGAUGUAAAUAAUACAAGCAUUCGCAACAAAGCUUCAGCAGAACACGCCAUGAUGAAUGACUACAAGAUUGAUUGGACCAACGCAAGAAUCGUCACAGCAGAAAAAGUGACAGCAUCUUGGCUACGUAUGGAAUCGUUUAUCAUGCAGACCACUUCUAAAAGAGGCAUGGCAAAGGUACGGGAUAACCUUAACAACAGAAAUCUAAACGUGAUCAAUGCGAGGUCCUUGCAGCAAUUUCUCAAACCUAUUCAAAUGAACCGCCUCUGCUGAUGCAUUCAUUGUCAACAAGGCUCCAUGCUCAAAGCCGAAACGUGAUAAACGUUUGUUUGGUCUGGUCGGCAUCUCUUUUUGUUUCAAAUGUACGGUGCCGGCCACACGGGAUUCCUUCACGCUGCCGACUUCCAUGCCAACACAAAGAGUGCAGAAACCGCAACAGAAGGUGACGUAAUGGGAAAGCUGUAUAUCUUCUUUUGCUUCGAAAGCUUUUCAGAUACAGCGCCCUAGCAUCCUUGGUUCUUACAUAACUCAUAUUAUGUGUAGCAUCUGGAAUACUGUACUCUAUGUCAAUAGUUUCUUGCUGCACUGGGGAAGCCGCAGGAUUCAUUUGCGGACAGAAAUACCAAAUCUUCCUAAAUAUGCAUUAAUUUAUGCCAUGUCGUCAGCUCAACGUCUGCUUGCCAUGUUGUCUGUGCCUCCUAUGUGCUUAGUGAAUUGACCCAGCAAAUAUUUGGCAUUUUAACCAUAAACUGUGUUUACAUGAACGUGGCAGUAGGGCCUUGCUUCACAUAUACAUUUUUUCAGCAGUUUCCUGCAGCUUCCUUAGAUUUUAAGUAAGGACAAACACUUUGCACACAAGCGUAAAAAGACAUGGAAACACAUGAGCAUAAAGGUAUGUGCUAGCGCAAUUACAUGUCGUGACACCAGGUGCCCUCUUUUUCACAAGUCUCUAAAAUGCACUUUGGCACAUGCCUGGCAGUCUCAUAACGUCUUGCAUUCGCCUUCACAACUUGAUGCCUUUCAUGUCCUGCACAACAGGAUUGCUUUUCUUGAAAAUCAGUCACAUUUGUGCGCCAUGAAUGGGAAGCAUGGAGUGAUGUUUUGUCUUCUGUAUCUGGACCCAUGUGGAUGGCGCCAGCCAAGAAUGGCAAAAAUAGGGAAAACCUGUGCCACUCACACAAUAUUUCAUCCAUGUGAAUUACAAACUUUUAAGCAUUUUUUAAUUAGCAGUUAUCGUCUACUAGUGAAGUGUUGCCAGCUGAAGUGUGCAAGCUUCUCCAUGUCUUGACACCACCCCCCUUCAUGUGCUUCUUGUGUCACUGAUCAUGGACACCUAAUUUUCAGAUGCUGUCACCAUUUGCCAAAUUUUACGAAACAUUAAGAUCACAGUGGCGCAUCCCAUUUGAGAAAGGUUUGAGGGCUUUCACAGCAGGUGCCAUGCCACUUUGAGGCUGUGUUGUUGCCAUGCUGAAUGAUUCUUUAAAGUACUCUUAUUUGACUACUGAAACCUCAUAUUAAUUUCAGAGUUCAUUGAAAGUGGCAUGGUUGAGAUGUCCGCCAAGAACCGAAUCCUGGUUAGGGAAUGAGAGCGCGAUGUGAACACUGCCUGAUUACACUGUGGCACCCAAGACUUGAAGGCGAAGGUCAAGCGUUCUCCAAGUGUUUUUAAGCAUUGUUGGUAGGGUGAGAUAGUAAACAGAUAUUAAUAAGAAAAUCCUAAUAAAUUAGGUUGCUUUGCAGAAACUGUGUGGGAACAGAGCUAAGUCAUUUUCUGAAUACCCAUGCAGGCCACUUGCCACUUCGUUGCAAAGGAGACUACUAAGGAGGCGUUUCUGGAUGACACGGCCUGUUCGAGCCUUCCAUUGUGGGAUGAAUAGUUAUUCCCAUCAUUAGAGCCUUCACCAAAUGAGAUUGGAGGUUCAGCACAGUGUUGCUAUGGCAGCAACAACUGCGCCUGCUACUGACUCUGCUGCCACCUCAUAUCCUGCAGCGAGACCAACUAUAUGUGCUGCCUCUUCUGGUCCUGCAGCCUUAGCAGUCACACUGCCUUCUGCCUCUGAUGCUGACAUGUCGCAGUGUUCGUUCAGCAAGGAUGAACAGCUAAGAUAAUCAAGGAUCCACAAGGAGUAUUAUAGGUUGACCUGCCUAACGGUGGGACGCUAUCAAGGACCGCCUCGAGAAAGGACUUCCAUUUGGUUCAGCGGUCCACCAUCGCAAUAUGGUGGACAGAUGCCCACGCACAUAGGAGCUUCACGGGAACGAACCGUUUUGCAGUAGCAGGCGGCCAGAAGCCUGCACAUCGGCCAUUUCCCACAUAAAGUGGGAGCAUAGAGAGUCUCUUCCAGGCACUACAGUGCUGCCCAAAGCCUUUCGGAAGAGGAAGCGAAACAGGCCGCCCAGAACACCAGGCUUUUGGCUGUCCCAGAAGACAACCAAGUUGAGGCGAGGGCAGAAAAAAUAAACAGAGAAGUCAUUUUCAUUUUCAAA
rnacentral:lncRNA from 1 species